ACGAACGCUGGCGGCAGGCUUAACACAUGCAAGUCGAACGAAGUCUUCGGACUUAGUGGCGCACGGGUGAGUAACACGUGGGAAUAUACCUUUCGGUGGGGGAUAACGUCGGGAAACUGACGCUAAUACCGCAUACGCCCCUUGGGGGAAAGAUUUAUCGCCGAGAGAUUAGCCCGCGUCCGAUUAGCUAGUUGGUGAGGUAACGGCUCACCAAGGCGACGAUCGGUAGCUGGUCUGAGAGGAUGAUCAGCCACACUGGGACUGAGACACGGCCCAGACUCCUACGGGAGGCAGCAGUGGGGAAUAUUGGACAAUGGGCGCAAGCCUGAUCCAGCCAUGCCGCGUGAGUGAUGAAGGCCUUAGGGUUGUAAAGCUCUUUCGACGGGGACGAUGAUGACGGUACCCGUAGAAGAAGCCCCGGCUAACUUCGU
rnacentral:rRNA from 1 species